rnacentral:rRNA from 1 species
CCUACGGGAGGCAGCAGUGAGGAAUAUUGGUCAAUGGUCGGGAGACUGAACCAGCCAAGCCGCGUGAGGGAGGAAGGUACAGAUUAUCGUAAACCUCUUUUGUCAGGGAACAAAUGCGGGGACGUGUCCCCGGAUGAGUGUACCUGAAGACAAAGCAUCGGCUAACUCCGUGCCAGCAGCCGCGGUAAUACGGAGGAGGCGAGCGUUAUCCUGAUUUAUUGGGUUUAAGGGGUGCGCAGGCGGUCUGUUAAGUCAGCGGUCAAAGCCCGGGGCUCAACCCCGCUCCGCCGUUGAAACUGGCAGUCUCGAGUUGGAUAGAAGUAUGCGGAAUGCGCGGUGUAGCGGUGAAAUGCAGAGAUAUCGCGCAGAACUCCGAUUGCGAAGGCAGCAUGCCGGCUCCACACGGACGCUGAGGCACGAAAGCGUGGGUAUCGAACAGGAUUAGAUACCCCAGUAGUC